CUUGGGUGCUGCCCCUGCCUAGCUGAGGCCUCCACGCCGUGGCUCACCACAUAGAGACACAGGUUUCUCCGUGUCUCCGGAUCCAUGGGAUUUCCUUGAUCGGCUCUGCCCCUGUGGAUUCCUGCCUGCCAGAGGCUGGUCCACAGAUUGUGGAAGCAGAAAGUGACCUUCCUCUCAUCUGGUCCAACUCCCUCAUUUUGGAAACUGAGGCUUGGAAUGAGGAAGAGAUUUGGCUUCAAAUGUCAGUAGCCAAAGACUGGGCCCAAGGUAAUUGAAAUAUAAAUAAUGCAAUGAUCAUCUGCCCUCCCAGCAUUCCCUCACGACAGCACCCAACUCUAGCUUUUGAUGAAGGAGCCAAGACCCAGAGAGGUGGCAUCAUUUACCCCAAUGGCAUCGUAUGACCAGCACAAUGAAGGAAACCAAAGGGGUAUUGUGACUUUUCCUCCCUCUUUCCCCUCCUUCUUUUGUUCUCUCCCUUCCCUUUCCUUCCCUUCCCAUCUCUUCCUUCCUUCUCCAUUUUCCUUCCCUCCCUCCAAACUUGUCUUUCUCUCUUCCUUUCUUUCUCUUCUCCUUCCUUCUUUCCUUUCUCCCUUUAUUAAAAAAAAAAAAAGGUGUUCUUUUUCCAUCCCACAGAUUGGAUGAAAAAAAAAGUUUAAUGCAUUUCAAAAAUAUUCAUGCUCAAGGAUCGUUCAAGACAUCUGGACCUUUUAAAAAGUUGUUACAAUUUUAAUAAAUAGGAUGUAUUUUAAAAUAUGUGAAAAAGACAUUCCAUUUAGUUAAGAUCAGAAACUCGUUAAAUUGCCUUUAAGAUCAUUUCUCUAUUAUAUUUUUAACCAAGGUAAAUUUCUAAGGGUUUUCGUUAUAUUAUUUCCAUAUCGUUCUCCAUAAUCACAUACAUUUGAUGCUUUCUAAAGCCUUCAUAAAUAUCACUGAAAAUAUUUGUCCCUUUUUGUAUUCUAAGUA
rnacentral:lncRNA from 1 species